rnacentral:lncRNA from 1 species
UUGGCCUUUGCUGGUUUCCUCCCUCGAAACCACCACCAAGAAGCCUUUAGCCUAUGGUUUUUCUCCUACACUUUUGGUACACUCACCUAUAUAACCAAACCCCUUUACUCCCCUUUACUUCAUCAAAUCAUAGCUCCUGAUAUCUUAAUCUCUACAAAUCCCACUUCAAAGAGUUUCCAACUCGUUGGUUCUAUAUUACAGUAACACAGAAAAUGAGUUCAGCAAGCAAAGCUUGGUUGGUUGCAGCAGCUGUUGGAGGUGUUGAGGCCUUGAAAGACCAAGGGUUCUGCAGGUGGAACUACACCUUGAGAUCCCUCCACCAACAUGCCAAGAACCAUGUCAGAUCAGCCUCUCAGGCCAAGAAGCUUUCUUCUUCAUCCUCUGCCAUGAUCUCGAAUAAAAUCAAGGAAGUGAGAGCAAAACAGUCUGAGGAAUCUCUAAGAAAAGUCAUGUAUUUGAGCUGUUGGGGCCCUUACUAAGCAAAGAAGCAAGAACAGAGAUUGAGGAAAUUAUCGUGAUAGGAUUACCCUGAUUGUUGCAAGUCGAUGUAAAUAUUUGUAAAUUUUGUUGCUGACUUAAUGGAAUCAAACAAUAUUAUUCUUGGAUUAGUUUUUCCUUGCACCUUUUAUGUUUUCCCACUUCUUUUGGUAGCACCUCAUGUCACAGGUGAAAACUAAAGGGAUCAUGACAAGGUUCAAUUUUAGUGCAUCACAGCAUUUGCUAAGGAUAUUUAAAUUAAUUGCAACCCCAAGCUAAAUAUCUAAUUUGGUUUAAAAAGUAUUUUAAAAAAUCAGCAACUCAACUGGAGGAGGGGUUGUAUCGCAAAAGCUAAAUAUCUUGAUAGGUUGACAAAUUAGUGCAAAUCUUAAACUGGAAUUCUCAAUUUCAAUCUGGCCCAGAAGAAAAUUAGUUUAGGAGUAUUUCUUCACUCACAAGUGUUUUUUUUAAUAUUAUAUUUUAUAAUUUUUUAGUUGAAUAUUGAAUUCUUUAAUAGUUAAGUUUCAUAUUUUUAUUUAGUUUUUUUUUUUACUUUUUUAAUUAUUUUUUGCCAUGAAUAAUCUUUUGAAUAAAUAUAAAAUUUAUUUCUAGCAACAAAAUUACUAGAUAUAAUUGAGUAAUAACGCAUAAUUAAAUAUUUUAAUCUUAUUAAAUAUUUUAAUCAAAUAUUAAUUCAUUCAAUUAAAUACAUGCAUAAAUAUUGUAAUAUAUAAUUGAGAAUUUUUUAUAUUAACAACCUCAUGAAAAACUUAAUUAUUAUUUUUUUUUUUUACUAAAAAGGAUAUAUAAUCCUCUACGAAGUGCUGUUGAAAUAGUUUACAUACAGUCCUCAUUGUGCAUGGUGAAUAUUUUGCAGGAGAUUCCCGGAUCAUUAAACAACUUCAUCAUUUAAAUGAUGAAUGCAGAGAGGUAUUUAUGGUGCAGCUUGGAUUCAGUUCAAAGAGAUCCAAUAUAUGUUUCCUUGCUUCGUCCAGAUGAAGGUUACGUUUGUGUGAUUGUGGAUGGCAGCUCUCAUGGGCAAUCCAGGCGUGUCUGGAUUUGGGGAACUGGUUUGAAACAAUGACAGUCACCGGAUGGCGGGUUUCUUGGGUUUUUGUGGUUUUGGAUUGAAUCUUCUUCCGGAACUUCUGGCAAUUAAACAUGGCUUAGCUGAAGCAUAGGAUAGAGGCCAUAGGAGGAUCAUUAUCGAUUCUCAAGAGGCAAUCAAGCUUACAAAAGAGAAGAAUUCUAAAUUUCAUAAAUUGGAUGCGGUUAUAUGUAGAUGUCAAGUUUUUUUGGCUAAGCAUGAUGUAAAGAAUCAUGAUUUGUUCCAGGUGUGGGACAUUCCUUCUCCGGGGCUACACUCUCUCCUUAUGACCGAUUCGUUGGUUCGUUGGGUUUCAAUUUUAGAAGAGUUUUUUAGUUUGUGUCAUUUAAUUUUCACUGCAUCAAAAAAAAAAAAAAUUCCUAACUAUUACUUCAACUUUCUUGCUUAUUAGCAAUCAUACAACAACAGCAGCAACAAGUAACAGCAUCACUUGUCUUUCAUCCUUUUACAGUUCCAUAACACCAAAACAGCUUUGUGAAUACAUGUUUAACCGUAAAAUAAAAUACGAAAAAAGAUGAAUUUUAAGAGAGAGAGAGAGAGGCUCUCAACUUUAUUUUAUAUUAAAGAAAACGAAAAGGAGAAGCAUGCAUUUUGACAUUUGUUUAUCCUCAGUCCCACACUUUCUUUCAGUCCUUACAAGUGGCAAAAAUGAGAAGUGCCACCAAAUUGUGACAUGCAUGACUCACCACCCUUCAGCUAUGCUCCUCCUUAUACGGUGGCUAGGAUUUAUUUAUUUUACGAAGCAAAACCAUGUGCUCAUUUCAAGGCAGGCAGAGAAGCUUUUGGCUUGUUGUGGAGUAAAGGGCAAAAAAAUCUAGCCAUCCCAAGAACCCGAUUUUGUCCCCACUUUCUUAUUGUCACCAUGUGGUAGUUGAAUGUUAAUACAGCCAUCUCACCAUAAAAAAUUACCAUCGGCUUUUGCUGGUUUCCUCACCCAAAACAACCAGCAGGAAGCCUUUAGCCUCAGGUUUUUUCCUCAACUUUUGGCAUUCUCACCUAUAUAACCAAACCCCAUCCUCCCAUCGGAUUCAUCAAAGCAUAGCUCGAGCUUUCUUACUCUCUACAAAUCCUACUACAAACUUGUUGGUUCUAUAUUACAGUAACAUAAAAAAUGAGUUCAGCGAGUAAAGCUUGGUUGGUUGCCGCUGCUAUCGGAGGUGUUGAGGCGUUGAAAGAUCAAGGGUUCUGUAGGUGGAACUACACAUUGAGAUCCCUCCACCACCAUGCCAAGAACCAUGUCAGAUCAGUCUCUCAGGCCAAGAAGCUUUCUUCUUCGUCCUCAGCCAUGAUCUCAAAUAUAGUCAAGGAAGAGAAGGCAAAACAGUCAGAGGAGUCUUUAAGAAAAGUCAUGUACUUGAGUUGUUGGGGUCCAAACUGAAGCUAUGAAUCUAGUAGAUGAAAUCGAGGGACUUAGUUUAUAGUUUAUAGGAGUAAAUCCUUGCAAGCUUAUGCAAAUUGUAAAUUUUGAUGCACAUUUUCUGAAAUCGAACAUUAUCACAUGUUUUUAUCAUUUCUUUUGGUAGCGCGAGUGCAUUUCCCUAGUGAGUAAAUUUAACAAAGCUCUUUUCUAGUUUUCUAGUGGAAUAAACAGGCAAUUAAUUUCAUUUAAUUUCAAUAUGAGAUAUGAAAUUCAACUGGAGGUUAAAAUCUCUUUCUCCCCACAUCCUCAGAUGGAUAAAAAGGCUAUCUCAAAUUGGAUUUGACCCCAAAGAAAAUCCAUUUUGUUGUAAAAUUCUCAGUCACUAAUCACAACAGGAGUGAUCAUUGUGUGAAAAAUGGAAGAGGACCUUGUACCAUCACAUAAAUUUAUUAAUAAGUAAGAUUGGAUCGAAUUCUUUUGAUAUUUAAAAAUACAGAAUUAUGUCUUUUUCUAUGUCAAAGUGUGCAGUUCAAGAAACUAGGAACGAUGCUGAUUCAAAAUUAAUGUUCAUUCUUAGAUCACUCUUACAAGCUCACUAGAAUCUCUCUCUGUUAAACCCAAAUGAAAAGAAAAAACUAAAAAUAUGAGCGUUUAUUUUCAGAAAUACAAAUGGUCUUGACCAAUACAAUUUUUGCCUAAAUUUCUAUUCAAGCGCUAAUAGUUAACAUUAAUGGAAAGCGACCUGCAUAUGACCUUCUUGCAGAAAGAAAACAACUGAACUUUUAACUUCCAUGCAUCAUAGCCAUUAAACCUGGCAUAGAUUAGAUUAGCAAAGCUGAGUCUGAAAACAAAUCCUCACAGAAAUCUGAAAACAUAAAACUAAAGUUAUUGUUUUAAUUAUUUUUCUAAUUAAUUUUAAAUUAUAAUUAUUUAUUUUCUAUUUAAUUUAUGCUAGAUGGAUUAUAUUAAUUAGAAUUUUUUUUAACUAUAAAUCCUUUUUUAUAACAAAUUUUAGAAUUAAUAUAAAUAGAAAUAUGUAGUUUAUUUUUAUAGAGAUAAAAACUAUUAUUUAUAUUUAAUAAAAAUAUAUAAAAAAUUAAAAUUUCUGAAAAGUUUAAUCUACAAUUUUAGAACUUGAAGUCUAGUUUUAUUUUGGCUAUAGUCUGUGUCAUGACUUAAACUGUCUAGUUUUUUACUGAACUGUAUUAAAUAUUAAUUUAGUAAAAUUCGAAUUGGAUUGGCUUGCGAGUUAAUCUAAUGAUCGAUUAAGUGGCCGUUUGGAUUUGCUGCAGCGGUUGCGGUUGAAAUGAAAAUAUGCAAUAUAGUGUUUGGUUAACACCAACCAUGUUUUUUAUUGAUGUGGGUCCCAGUCCAAAACUAAGGCUGGACUUCAGUUUUUGAAAAGCAAUUACCAAUUGCUUUUCAUGCGUUUUGCCCUCUCUUUCAUCGCCGACACUUUCCUCUUGUUUUCCCAACGAUCCCAACUCCUGUCCUUGAUUUUUAUGUUUCAACUCUCACAGCCUAUCCAUUUCCAAACCUCAGCAGCUUAGGAAAGAGAAAAGCUCACAAUCUGUUUUUUUUGAAAAGGUUUAUUCUACCCAUAUAACUUAUAAUUUUUUAUCGCCUUGUUAUUAAUAUGGGGUUUAAUUUUUAUUUUAUUCUACGACUGUCUAUUUUUAAAAAAAUUAUUUAAUCUAUCUUUUUUAAAUAGCAAUUAUUCUUAUAUAUAUUUUUAGUUUUAUAAUGUACCAAAGAAGUUAUUGUAAUUUAUCUUUAUUUUUUUUCUUUUAUAUUUGAUUAAAAAAAUAACCUCUAAGAUAAAAAAAAAAACAAAAAAAAACAUAUGAAUUAAAAAAAAAGUUAGGUCAAAUAUUUUAAUGCUUAUUGUAUUUUGUUUUUAUGAAAGAUAUUAAUUUUUUUAUUUUAAUAUUUAAUUACCAUUAACAAAUUUUUCUCAACUUAUCACUUCUUAGAUUUUUAUAUUUAUUUUAUUAAAUUUAAAUAAAAACUUAACAUUUUUCAAUUAAAAAAAUUCACAAUACAAUAAAAUGCAUUUACAAAAUUGGCGUUUAUUAAAAAAAUUCAUUUCUUUUGAAAAGUGCUUUUUGAAUCAUAAUUUUACCAAACACAAAACUGCUUUUUUUUUCUACCACAAUUUAAACCACAGUUUUUUAACCAAACACAAGAAACUGUUUUUUUUAAAACCACAACUCCAACCACAGUUUUAACCAAACACUAACUUUUUUUGAAAUCAAUCUCACAAAAAAUACUUUUUAUUAAACUAUUCUUUUCAAACCAUAAUUAUAAAAGCUACCACAAUACUAAACACAUUCAGUAAGGGAAAAAAAAAAAAAAACAAAAGAAAGAAAGCAUGCAGUUUCCUAGACGGUCCUGCUACCUUAAUUGAUACAGUUUCAUGCGUAUGAGCCUCCAAGAACAUGGCAUGUGGCAUUCCUCACCUCUAAUUUGGGCUUAGUUGGAUAUUUUUUUUAAGCAAAACGGUGUGCUCGCGGGAAGAUAGAGACAAGGUUGAUCUGUCGAUUGUUAUGAAUAAAUUAAAAAAUCUACACCCACCCCAUUUUAUCCCAACUUAUUUAAUGAAUCCAGUCGUCUACUAAGACAAUAGAUGCAUCAUGUCAUCAAAAAUACCGUUGGCCUUCGCUGGUUUCCUCACUCAAAACCACCACGAAGAAGCCUUGAGCCUCUGGUUUUUCUCCUACACUUUUGGUACACUCACCUAUGUAACCAAACCCCCUUACUCUCAUUUACUUCAUCAAAUCAUAGCUCCUGAUAUCUUAAUCUCUCCAAAUCCAACUUCAAAGAGUUUCCAACUCGUUGGUUCUAUAUUACAGUAACAGAGAAAAUGAGUUCAGCAAGCAAAGCGUGGUUGGUUGCAGCAGCUGUUGGAGGUGUUGAGGCGUUGAAAGAUCAAGGGUUCUGUAAAUGGAACUACACCUUAAGAUCGCUGCACCAACAUGCCAAGAACCAUGUCAGAUCAGCCUCUCAGGCCAAGAAGCUUUCUUCUUCAUCUUCUGCCAUGAUCUCGAAUAAAGUCAAGGAAGUGAAAGCAAAACAGUCUGAGGAAUCUCUAAAAAAAGUCAUGUAUUUGAUCAGCUGCUGGGGUCCUUACUAAAGCUAAGAAGCAAGAUGAAAUUGAGAAACUUAUCGUGAUAGGAUUACCCUGAUCGUUGCAAGUUGAUGUAAAUAUUUGUAAAUUUUGGUGCUGACUUAAUGGAAUCAAACUAUAUUAUUUUUUCAUUAAUUUUUCCUUGCACCAUUUAUUUUUUCUGUUUUCCCCCUUCUCUUGGUAGCACCUCGUGUCACAAGUGAAAAAGGAUCAUGACAAGGUUCAAGUUUAGUGCAUCACAGCAUUUGCUAAGGAUAUUUAAAUCAAUUGCAAUCUCAAGAUAGAAUCGAAAUUCUAAUUUCGUUACGAAAAUCUAUUUUAAAAAAGCUAGGCCUGCAACUUUGACUGGUUUUUUAAUGACAUCCAUGGAUUAAGAAAUAAUUAUUGGAUUAAAACCUUACCCCGUUUUUGGAGCCAAAUGGAAGUUAUAUAUAUAUAUAUAUAUAUAUAUAUAUAUAUAUAUAUAUAUAAUCUGUUAAAUGAAGAUCAACAGGGCUUCUUUACUUCAAUGUCAGAACUUUUGAGCAUUCAAGAAACUUGGAAUGUUGCAAAAUGGUUGAACUUGACAGAAAAGAAAUAUUUUUUUUUGAAGUGAAUAAUGUUUAGUAACGUAAUGAGAAUCCAUUUGAUCACUGCUCAAGUCGUUUAUGCAUCAAAAUUUUGCUUGAUGACAUGUCUGGAUAAGGAGAGCUUGAGAGUUGAGAACUUGGUAUUUUGUGACACACGCAAUGGAUCUACAAUUAUUGUCUGUCCUUUACUCAAGCCCCACUCCUGAAGAAAAACAGGAGGAUUUGCCUCCUAUACUUGAGGCUCACCUCGGAGUUUUAUAAAGCAAACCGUGUGCCUCUUUAUCAAAACAAGGCCCCGCUCUAGCAACAUGAUAAGAUGCAUGAAAAAGAAAUGUAUUUAAUGCCACCAAGUGGUCCUUGAUGGACAUAAAGAUUCAGUCCCAUCAUAGCUGGUGGUUUGGCUCCCUUAAGCUAAAACCACCAGCUACAGCUUGUUCCUAGCUUCCGGUUUCCUUCAAAUUUCUGGCACCUAGUCCGCUACUCUCUUUAUAAGCAAAUCCCAGUUUGCCAUUUACACCAUCGACACGAAUUCUCAAUUACAUCUCAUCCUUUUCAACUAAAAAUCUCACAUCAACGAGUUUCCAACUAUUGUUCUAUUUUAUAUUACAGAGAAAAUGAGUUCAGCAAGUAAAGCUUGGUUGGUAGCUGCUGCUAUUGGAGGUGUUGAGGCCUUGAAAGACCAAGGCUUCUGUAGGUGGAACUACACAUUGAGAUCGCUACACCAACAUGCCAAGAACCAUGUCGGGUCAAUUUCUCAGGCUAAUAAGAAGCUCCCUUAUUCAUCUUCUGCCAUUAUUUCAAAUAAAUUCAAGGAAGAGAAGAUGAAACAGUCAGAGGAGUCUCUAAGAAAAGUCAUGUAUUUGAGUUGUUGGGGUCCUAACUGAUACUCUCAAGAAAAAGGAAAUUCUGAGGAAAUCAGUUCAUAGGAUUAGAGUAAAUUUUUGCAAGUUGAUUUAAACUGUAAAUGCUUGUGCUGACAAUCAAAUAUAUCUCAUUUUAUUGGCAAAAUUUUGGGAAAAUGGCCUUAAAGUAACAUUAACAAAGGAUAUGGCUCAUGUUAAAAAAAACACCAGCAACUCAAUUGGAGGAGGAGUUGUAUCACAGAAGCUAAAUAUCUUGAUAAGUUGAUAAAUUAGGACAAAUCUUAAACUGGAAUUCUCAAUUUCAGUUUGGCCCAGAAGAAAAUUAGUUUAGGAAUAUUUCUUUACUCACAAGUGUUCACGGCAGGGUGAUGAUCACUGUAUGUGAAAUGAAAACGCUGUGUUUGUUUUCCGGAAAGUGGUUUCCGGGAAAGCACUUUCCAAACUUUCUCGUGUUUGUUUGCCAGUAGGAAAGUUGGUCAAUGGAAAACACUUUCCAGUAAAAGGAAAAUUUGGCUUGGUUUUCAGGAAAGUGUUUUCCUGAAAAAUUUGAGGGGAAAACACUUUCCAGAAGUUGUGAAAAUUUUAGAAAUGUCAUUAUUUGCUGAUUAUAUCAAAUUUGAUCCUCAAACUUUUGAUUGCUAUAUAUAUUUUGUUUUGAAUAUUUAUUUUUCAAUUUCAUCUCUUAAAAUUUUAUUUUUAUAUUAACUUUGGUCCUUAUUUUUAUAAUUGUUAUUUGCUUUUUUCUUACCAUUUUUUUAUUGAAAUUUUUUAUUUAUCAAAUUUGAUCCUCAUUCUUUUUGAUUGUUACUUAUUUUAUUUGAAAUAAUUUAUGAAAUGUUGAUUAUUAUUAUUUUAAUUUCUUCAUUUUUCAUUUUUUUUUAUUUUUUUAGAUUUGAUCCCUAUUAUUUUGAUUAUUAUUUGUUUUAUUUGAGAUAAUUUAUGAAAUUAUAUUUUUUUUUUUCAAUUUCAUUCUCAUUCAACUUUUUAAUUUGUAAGAUUUGUUCCUCAUUAUUUUAAUAAACUUGAGAAAAAUAAAAUAUUAAUAAGUUAUUUUCCAGCUCAUUUUUCAUGACAUAACUAAACACUGGAAAGUGUUUUCCAGUUCAUUUUCCAUAACACUACCAAACAUCGGAAAAUACUUUCCCGGAAUUCACUUUCCAGGAAUUCACUUUCCUCGGAAUUCACUUUCCAAAAGAAAUUCACUUUCCUGCAAACAAACGGAGCCUUAAAUUACAAAAGAAUUGUAUAAAUAAUUAACCCGAAGAAUUUUUGAAUAAUUAUAUGAUGAAUUUAUGAAAAACUUUCACACAGAAAUUGGGUUUUUAAAGACAACAAUUAUAGAUGAGAGAUGUGUGUGGGGGUCUAAAUAUGGGAUUAGCCUUAAAAAAUAUCGAUCUUGGGACGUGAAGAAUAUUUUCAAACCAAUUGAUUUGGUGAAAACUUUGGUGUUAUCAUUGAUGUUGGCAAAACGUUAUCUAGAAAAAGCUAUUGGUAUAGAAAAUAUAUACUUGAUUUUCAUAGACAUGUGAUUAUUGGCUUGAUGUUUGGAUCACGACCCCAACAAUAACAAGGAGGCGAAGGUUUAUUGCCAUUUGGGUCAACAAAAACAAUUUUGUUCUGGUAAAAAUGUAUGCCAUCAUUUUCCUCUCAUGUUUUUUAAACAAAUAUGCUCGAAAGACAUGAAAAGAAAAGAAAAAAUUAGAAAAAGAAAACUUGUUUUGUAUAGAGUUUACAAGUGUAGAUAGUUUUUGUUAAAUUUUUGCAAGAAAGAGCAAAGUUUAAUUAUCUUGCUUAGAGGUAGUUUAGUUAAAAAAAAGAGUGGAAAAGUAAGCAAUAUGAUAUCUGAAUGAGUGUACAAGUUCAAGACGCCUUACAUGAGAAGUCCAAAUUUAAUUAUCAUGUUUUGGAGACAGGUAGUCAAAAAGACUUGAAGAAAGAUUUGUGAUUUUUUUUAUAGACAAGUGGUUACAGAAUAAUGAAAAAGGAUAUCUUAUACUUUAGAAAAUAUAUGAUCAUAGUGUUUUGGAGACAUUUAUGAAGAUUCAAUUAAGACAUGAAGAUUUUAGUAUGAAAAAUUAAAGAAGCUAGAGUUUAUUUUCAAUAUAAGUUAUAUAUUUAUUACACUGAAUAGGCUAAUUUGUUUGUUUUGUUUAUUGUAAUUUCAUGCUUGCAAGAGUUAUUUUUCAAUGCUAUUGUGUAAUCUUUUAUAUAUAUAUAUAUAUUCAAUUACUAUCUUUGCUUAUUUUUUUAUUGUCUAAUUAAAAUAAAACUAACUUAUUAAAUUUAAAUGAGGCUAUAACCUGAGUUAUUUGUUUUUUUUUAUUUCUUUUAAAUAUGCUUGUGACACCUAGAUUAUAGUUGUCUUUUUUUAUUUUUUAUUUUUUAUUUUAAUUGAUACCUUUUUAAAAAAAUAUUUUUUUUUAAUUUAUAUUUGCAUUAAUAUCUCUUCUCAAUUAUUUUUUAUUUUUAAUUGAUUUUUCCUUCAAUUUCAUCCAUAUCCUUUGGUUUAAUUUGAUUUUUAAAUCAAACUUAUUUCUUAUUCUUUUGAUAUUUUUAAACCUUUUAUAAAUUGAUUUUUUUUCAAUUACAUUCCUUGGCAUUUAAUUUCAAUUUAUUUUUCUAUUAAAUUUGGUUCCCGUUAUUUGUUUUUCUUCUUGUCUUUUAUGGGGUUAGUCUCAUCCUCAUUACAAGGGUCACAAGUUUCGAAGGUUAACAUUGGUUGACUUUGAUUUUUUUAAGUUUUUUUAUCAAAUUGAUUUAUUUUUAAUUUUAUCCUAUAAUAUUUAAUUUUUUUUAAUUAGUUUUUUUUUAUCUUUUUUUAUAUGGAGUUAUCUCAAUCCUAUACCCAUAGUCUUAGAGUUAGUGGCUUAAUCCAAGUUAACUCGGAUUUGUUUUCAUAUAUAAAUAUAAUUUUCUUAAUUCCAUUGCUAAAGAUCUUUUUAUUGAGAAUUUUGCUUCGUUGUUUUUUUUGUUUGCCUUCCAAUGCAGUCGGUCUCAGUCUCAUGACCACGGUUGUGGAUUUUAAAAGUUAAUAUUUGUUAAUUUUGAUUUGUUUAGGUUUUUUUUUUUUUCAAUUUCAUCAUUCAACAUUUAAAUUUUUAGGAUUGAUCUUCAUGCUUUUUUUUUAUUCACUUUCUUUUUUAUGGGGCUAUCUCAAUCUAAUGCCCAAAAUCGUGAAGUUAGUGAGUUAACCUAGCAGAGACAAGUUUGAUAUUAGAAUAAAUGGAUUUAAAUAAUAUUUUAUUUUUAACUUUUUCGUAUUAAAAUGAUUUGAAUAUAUAUAUAUAUAUAUAUAUAUAUAUAUUUUAAAAGCAAAAACAAACUAGGUAUAAUAAUAAAAACUUAAUUUAUCUCCAUUUUUUUAAUGACCAAGUUGUAUUCCAAUAAUUGAAGGGGAAAUAGAGACCACUUGUCUUCUAAAAAAUACCGUUGGCCUUCGCUGGUUUCCUCACUCAAAACCACCACCAAGAAGCCUUUAGCCUCUGGUUUUUCUCCUACAAUUUUGGUACACUCACCUAUAUAACCAAACCCCUUUACUCCCAUUUCCUUCAUCAAAUCAUUGCUCCUGAUAUCUUAAUCUCUUCAAAUCCCACUUCAAAGAGUUUCCAACUCGUUGGUUCUAUAUUACAGUAACAUGAAAAAUGAGUUCAGCGAGUAAAGCUUGGUUGGUUGCAGCAGCUGUUGGAGGUGUCGAGGCCUUGAAAGACCAAGGGUUCUGUAGGUGGAGCUACACCUUGAGAUCCCUUCACCAACAUGCCAAGAACCAUGUCAGAUCAGCCUCUCAGGCCAAGAAGCUUUCUUCUUCAUCCUCUGCCAUGAUCUCGAAUAAAAUCAAGGAAGUGACAGCAAAACAGUCGGAGGAAUCUCUAAGAAAAGUCAUGUAUUUGAGCUGUUGGGGUCCUUCCUAAAGCUAAGAAGCAAGAUGGAAUUGAGAAAAUUAUCGUGAUAGGAUUACCCUGAUCGUUGCAAGUUGAUGUAAAUAUUUGUAAAUUUUGGUACUGACUUAAUGGAAUCAAACUAUAUUAUUUCUUGAUUAAUUUUUCCUUGCACCAUUUAUUUUUUUCUGUUUUCCCACUUCUUUUGGAAAGGAUCAUGAAAAGGUUCAAUUUUAGUGCAUCACAGCAUUUGCUAAGGAUAUUUGAAUCAAUUGCAAUCUCAAGAUAGAAUCUAAAUUCUAAUUUGGUUAAGAAAAUCUAUUAAAACAAAAUCCAGGUCUAACUUUGACUGGUUUUUUAAUGACAUAUAUAUUAUCUGUUAAAUGAAGAUCAAUAGGGCUUAUUUAUUUAAAUGUCAGAACUUUUGAACUUUCAAGAAAAUUGGAAUGUGGCAAAAUGGUUGAACCUGACAAAAAAAAAAAGUAUUUUCUUGAAUAUCUGAAAAAUGAAUUAGCUCGUAAGAAAUAAUUAUUUUGAAGUGAAUAGUGUUUCGUAACAUUAGAGAAUCCACUUGCUCACUGCUCAGGUCGUUUAUGCGUCAAAAUUUUGCUGGAUGCCAAGUCUUUAGAACGCUCGAUUAAGGAGAGCUUGAGAGUUCAGAACUUUGUAUUUUGUGACGCAUGCAAUGGAUCUACAAGACUACAAGUAUUGUCUGUCCUUUACUCAAGCCCCACUGCUGAAGAAAAACAAGUGGAUUUGCCUCCUAUACUUGAGGCUCACUUCGGAUUUUUAUAAAGCAAACCGUGUGCUCUUUACCAAAACAUGGCCCCGCUCUAGCAACAUGAUAAGAUGCAUGAAAAAGAAAUGUAUUUAUAAUUCCACCAAGUGGUCCUUGAUAGACAUAAAGAUUCAGUCCCAUCAUAGCAUAACCACGAUAAAAUAAUACCACUGGCUCCCUUAAACCAAAACCAGCAACCACAGCUUGCUCCUUGCUUCCGGUUUCCUCCCAAUUUCUGGCAAUUAGUUCCCAACUCUCUUUAUAAGCAAAUCCCAGUUUGCCAUUUACACCAUCGACACGGAUUCUGAAUCACAUCUCAUCGUUUUCAACUAAAAAUCCCACAUCAAAGAGUUUCCAACUAUUGUUCUAUUUUAUAUUACAGAGAAAAUGAGUUCAGCAAGUAAAGCUUGGUUGGUAGCUGCUGCUAUUGGAGGUGUUGAGGCCUUAAAAGACCAAGGCUUCUGUAGGUGGAACUACACAUUGAGAUCGCUACGCCAGCAUGCCAAGAACCAUGUCGGGUCAAUUUCUCAGGCUAAUAAGAAGCUCCCUUGUUCAUCUUCUGCCAUUAUUUCAAAUAAAUUCAAGGAAGAGAAGGCGAAACAGUCAGAGGAGUCUCUAAGAAAAGUCAUGUAUUUGAGUUGCUGGGGUCAAAACUGAUACUCUCAAGAAAGAAGAAAUUCUGAGGAAAUCAGUUCAUAGGAUUAGAGUAAAUUUUUGCAAGUUGAUUUAAACUGUAAAUGCUUGUGCUGAUUGCCAAUCAAAUAUAUCUCAUUUUAUUGGCAAAAUUUUGGGAAAAUGGCCUUAAAGUAACAUUAACAAAGGAUAUGGCUCAUGUUAAAAAAAAAACCAGCAACUCAAUUGGAGGAGGAGUUGAUAAAUUAGGACAAAUCUUAAACUGGAAUUCUCAAUUUCAAUUUGGCCCAGAAGAAAAUUAGUUUAGGAAUAUUUCUUUACUCACAAGUGUUCACGGCAGGGUGAUGAUCACUGUAUGUGAAAUUAAACAGGCCUUUAAAUUACAAAAGAAUUGUAUAAAUAAUUAACCCGAAGAAUUUGUGAAUAAUUAUCUGAUGAAUUUAUGAAAAACUUUCACACAGAAAUUGGGUUUUUAAAGACAACAAUUAUAGAUGAGAGAUGUAUGGGGGUCUAAAUAUGGGAUUAGCCUUAAAAAAUAUCGAUCUUGGGACGUGAAGAAUUUCAAACCAAUUGAUUUGGUGAAAACUUUGGUGUUAUCAUUGAUGUUAGCAAAACGUUAUCUAGAAAAAGCUAUUGGUAUAGAAAAUAUAUACUUGAUUUUCAUAGACGUGUGAUUAUUGGCUUGAUGUUUGGAUCACGACCCCAACAAUAACAAGAAGGCGAAGGUUUAUUGCCAUUUGGGCCAACAAAAACAAUUUUGUUCUGGUAAAAAUGUAUGCCAUCAUUUUCCUCUCAUGUUUUUUAAACAAAUAUGCUCGAAAGACAUGAAAAGAAAAGAAAAAAAUUAGAAAAAGAAAACUUGUUUUGUAUAGAGUUUACAAGUGUAGAUAGUUUUUGUUAAAAGUUUUUGCAAGAAAGAACAAAGUUUAAUUAUCUUGCUUAGAGGUAGUUUAGUAAAAAAAAAGAGUGGAAAAGUAAGCAAUAUGAUAUCUGAAUGAGUGUACAAGUUCAAGACGCCUUACAUGAGAAGUCCAAGUUUAAUUAUCAUGUUUUGGAGACAGGUAGUCAAAAAGACUUGAAGAAAGAUUUGUGAUUUUUUUUAUAGAUUUGUGAUUUUUUUUAUAGACAAGUGGUUAUAGAAUAAUGAAAAAGGAUAUCUUAUACUUUAAAAAAUAUAUGAUCAUGGUGUUUUGGAGACAUUUAUGAAGAUUCAAUUAAGACAUGAAGAUUCUAGUGUGAAAAAUUAAAGAAGCUAGAGUUUAUUUUCAAUAUAAGUUAUAUAUUUAUUACACUGAAUAGGCUAAUUUGUUUUUUUUGUUUAUUGUAAUUUCAUGCUUGCAAGAGUUAUUUUUCAAUGUUAUUGUGUAAUAUAUAUAUAUAUAUAUAUUCAAUUACUAUCUUUGUCUAUUUUUUUAUUGUCUAUUUAAAAUAAAACUAACUUAUUAAAUUUAAAUGAGGCUAUAACCUGAGUUAUUUGUUUUUUUUAUUUCUUUUAAAUGUGCUUGUGACACCUAGAUUAUAGUUGUCUUUUUUUUAUUUUUUUAUUUUAUUUUUUAUUUUAAUUGAUACCUUUUUUAAAAAAUAUAUAUAUUUUUUAAUUUAUAUUUGCAUUAAUAUCUCUUCUCAAUUAUUUUUUAUUUUUAAUUGAUUUUUCCUUCAAUUUCAUCCAUAUCCUUUGGUUUAAUUUGAUUUUCAAAUCAAACUUAUUCCUUAUUCUUUUGAUAUUUUUAAACUUUUUUAUAAAUUGAUUUUUUUUCAAUUACAUUCCUUGGCAUUUAAUUUCAAUUGAUUUUUCUAUUAAAUUUGGUUCCCGUUAUUUGUUUUUCUUCUUGUCUUCUAUGGGGUUAGUCUCAUCCUCAUUACAAGGGUCACGAGUUUCGAAGGUUAACAUUGGUUAACUUCAAUUUUUUUAGGUUCUUUUAUCAAAUUGAUUUAUUUUUAAUUUUAUCCUUUAAUAUUUGAUUUUUUUAAUUAAUUUUUUUUAUCUUUCUUUAUAUGGGGUUAUCUCAAUUCUAUGCCCAUAGUCUUAGAGUUAGUGCCUUAAUCCAAGUUAAAUCAUAUAUACAUAUAAUUUUCUUAGUUCCAUUGCUAAGGAUCUUUUUGUUGAGAAUUUUGCUUCAUUGUUUUUUUUUGUUUGCCUUCCAUGCAGUCGGUCUUAGUCUCAUAACCACGGUUAUGGAUUUUAAAAGUUAACAUUUGUUAAUUUUGAUUUGUUUAGGUUUUUUUUAAAAUUGAUUUUUUUUUAAUUUUAUCAUUCAACAUUUAAAUUUUUGGGAUUGAUCUUCAUACUUUUUUUUUUCACUUUUCAUUUCAUGGAGCUAUCUCAAUCUAAUGCCCAAAAUUGUGAAGUUAGUGAGUUAAUCUAGAUUGACCAAAAUCUUUUUUUAUUGAUUUUUUUAAAAUAUUUAUUUUUAGUUGUCACUCAAUAUUAGAUUGUUUGAGUUUCAUAUUUUUUUCAAUUUGUUUUUGUUAACAAUUCUUUGUAUUGUUUAUUGGCACGAAUAAUCUUUUAAUUAAACAAAAAGUUUAUUCUAUAAAACAAAGUUAUUGAACAUAAGUAAGUAGAUAACAUGGGUUGCAUGAUCAAAUAUUUUAAUCUUAAUAAGUCAUUGAUUAAAUAUUAAUUUAUUUAAUUAAAUAUAUGUAUAAAUAUUUUAAUAUAUGAUUGAGAAUUUUUUAUAUAAAAAACAUGAAGAAAAACUUAUUUAUUCUUUAUUUUUUUAUUAAAAAAUUAAGAUAUAUAAUCCUCUACGAAGCGCUGUUGAAAUAGUUUAUUGUAGUUUUCUAGACCAUCACAAUUGUUUACAGACAGUCCUCACUAUUACUUCAAUUGUCUUCAAAAACAGUCUUGCCCAAAACAAAACAUUGAUUGAUAAGUGACAAACCCCAUUUGUUUAAUGCGUGUGACUCAGAGCAGAGACAAGUUUGAUAUUAGAAUAAAUGGAUUUAAAUAAUAUUUUAUUAUUUUUUAAAAAAAUAUUUUUAACUUUUUCAUAUUAAAAUGAUUUAAAAAUAAUAAUAAAAAAUAUAUUUUUUUUUAAAGCAAAAACAAACUAGGUAUAAUAAAAAAACUUAAUUUAUCUCCAUUUUUUUAAUGACCAAGUUGUAUUCCAAUAAUUGAAGGGGAAAUAGAGACCACUUGUCUUGUAAAAAAUACCGUUGGCCUUUGCUGGUUUCCUCACUCAAAACCACGACGAAGAAGCCUUGAGCCUCUUGUUUUUCUCCCACACUUUUGGUACACUCACCUAUAUAACCAAACCCCUUUACUCCCAUUUACUUCAUCAAAUCAUAGCUCCUGAUAUCUUAAUCUCUCCAAAUCCCACUUCAAAGAGUUUCCAACUUGUUGGUUCUAUAUCACAGUAACAGAGAAAAUGAGUUCAGCAAGCAAAGCUUGGUUGGUUGCAGCAGCUGUUGGAGGUGUUGAGGCGUUGAAAGACCAAGGGUUCUGUAGGUGGAACUACACCUUGAGAUCCCUGCACCAACAUGCCAAGAACCAUGUCAGAUCAGCCUCUCAGGCCAAGAAGCUUUCUUCUUCAUCCUCUGCCAUGAUCUCGAAUAAAGUCAAGGAAGUGAGAGCAAAACAGUCUGAGGAAUCUCUAAGAAAAGUCAUGUAUUUGAGCUGUUGGGGCCCUUACUAAGCAAAGAAGCCACAUGAAAUUGAGGAAAUUAUCGUGAUAGGAUUAGCCUGAUUGUUGCCAGUUGAUGUAAAUUGAUUUUUAAAUAUUGUUGCUGACUUCAUGGAAUCAAACCAUAUUAUUUUUGGAUUAGUUUUUCCUUGCACCAUUUAUUUUAUAGUUUCUGUUUUCCCAUUUCUUUUCUCAGGCCCUCAUGUCGCAAAGUGAAAAGGAUCAUGACAAGGUUAAUUUUAGUGCACCACAGCUUAAAAAAAAAUUGAGGGGCAUUUGUAUUCAAAGAUAUUUGCAUCAAUCGGAAUCUCACUACAAUCUAAAUUAUAAUUUGGUAAAAAUAAAAAUUCAAUUCAAGAAAAAUUAGAUUCGAUUUAGAACUUAUACUGGUUUUUCAAAGACAUAAAUGGAUUAAGAAAUAAUUAUUGGACUUAUCCCCUUUUUGGAGCCGAAAGGAAGUUCAUUAGUCUUUUGGUUUUUUGCAUAAAUGAAGAUGAAUAGGGAUUAUUUUCUUCAAUGUCAAAACUUGUGAAAUUUCAAGAAACUUGGGAAUGCUGCAAAAUGGUUGAACUGGCACAAAAAAAUUAGUAUUUUCUUGAAUCUCUGACAGAUGAAUUAGAUCGCAAGAAAUACUUUUUUUUGAAGUGAAUAAUGUUUCGUAACGUAAGAGAAUCAUUUCUCUACUACUCGUAAAAACAUAAAUUAUUUGGAUUCUUUUUUUUAAGGUUUAGCUAUAUCUAUUGGUGUAAAUAUUAUAAUAACUUUUUUUAUGUAAAAUUAGCAGUUUGUUUUAUAAAACAUUUAGCAAAAUAAUAUCAUUUAAAAAAGAUUUGAUUAAAUAACAUGUUUUUAUCAUAUCAUGCCAAAUAUGAUAUUUAUUAAAUGUUGUUAUUUGUAGAAGUAACAAAUUGAAACUCCAAUCAUCUAGCUCAACAGGUUAAUUAAUUGAAUUAAGUUAUAGUAGUUAUAUAAACUGAUCGAUGUUUUCAUAUAAAAAUGAUAAUUUAAUGAAUUUUAUUAAAAUAUUUUUUAUGAAUCAAAAUAUAUAUCUUUUUUCAACUUAUAUACAAAAAAAUAGAUUUUAAUUAAAAUCUUAAAAUAUUAUUAUUCACAUAGUGAUUGUCCUUUGUUUUUCAUUGUCAAUGAUGUAGCUAUAUUUGCAAUAACUGGUAAUUCUAAAUAAUCAGAUGCAACUCUGCUGUAACUAAAUGAGAUUUGGCCCAAACAUAUUAUUUGGAUAGCUUUGCAUUUGUGAACUAAUAGGACAUGUAUAAACUUAGAAAGAAGGUCUAAUUAUACCAUAACAAAAUAAUGCUUAAAAGAACCAUAACUUUUGAUUAGACACUUAAAUUCUUUACAUGAGUUUUCAGAGGAAGUUUUUUCUAUUGUAGCUACUGUAUCGCUAUAUGAACCGUUAGAUUUUUAAAUAUAAAAAAUCUAGUUGAGUCACUUUGAUUUUAAUAACUUUGAGAUUUUUUUUGUUAUUUUUCGAAUCGAUCAACUGGUUUCACUGACCAUUAUGAAUCGGUUGAGCCAGAUAAUUGAAAUUUCACCUUGUCAUGUUUUAAAAGUGUGAUAUUUAUUAAAUGUCGCUAUUAUUUUAAUUUUUUUAAAAAUAAUAAUAUUUAAUAAAUAUUAUAUUUUUAAAGCACAAUAAAAUCAAAAUAUGCCAUUUCAUAAAAAAAAAAAUCUUCUCUGUUAAUUUGCCAAUUGUUUUGAUUUUAUUCACUAAUUUCCUAAUUUAUCCCUUUUUUUCCGUAACACAGCUAGCUAUAAUGUGCGGGUUCUUCAUUUAUUUAUUUUUCUCAACUGUGAUACAUAACAAUUAAUUUUUUUUCCACGUUUGUUAUUUUGGAAAAAAAAAAAUCGUAUCUUGUGACACAUGCAAUGGAUCUACAAUUAUUAUUGUCUUCAGGAGGUAAUCCUGUCCGUUCCCUGUUUUUGAGUAGAUGCCUAGACAAAUGCUAAAAUGCUAUCCUUCCAGCCCCACUACUAAAGAAAAACAAGUGGAUUUGCCUCCAAUACUUGAGGCUCAAUUUUGAUUUUUAUAAAGCAAACCGUGUGCCUCUUACCAAAAACAAGUCCCCACUCCAGCUUUGUCGUAAUUGAAUAUGAUAAGAUGCAUGAAAAAGAAAUCCCCCAUUUUUUCUCCAUUUGUAUUUAAUGCCACCAAGUGGUCCUUGAUGGACAUAAAGAUUCAGUCCCAUCCUAGCCUAACUGCACUAAAAUAAUACCACUGGCUUUAACUUGUGCCAAAACCACCAGCCACAGCUUAUCCCUGGCUUCCGGUUUCCUCCAAUUUUCGGGUCCUCUAGUCCCCUCCUCUCUAUAUAAGCAAUCCCCAGCUUGUCAUCUCCACCAUCAAACACCAUUUCCCUUCUCAAUUACAUCUCAACUUUUUCAAAACGUUGUCCAUCUUCUAGCUCUUCAGUUCAAUCGAAAGAAAUAGAAAAAUGAGUUCAACAAGCAAAGCUUGGGCUGUUGCCACUAGUAUUGCAGCUGUGGAGGCUUUGAAAGAUCAAGGAUUUUGCAGAUGGAACUACACAAUAAGAUCACUAUACCAACAUGCCAAGAACCAAGGCAAGUCAUCCUCUCUGCCCAAGAAGCUCUCUUCUCCAGCUUCUACUGUGGUUGCCGGUAAAGUAAGAGAGAAUCAGAAAGCAAGGCAAUCCGACGAGUCACUGAGGCAGGUCAUGUACUUGAGUUGCUGGGGUCCUUACUAGCCAGGCAGUGAACUACCAGCAAGGAACUAUGGCCAUGCAUGCACUGGUUGCAGCAUAGAGACAAUCGAAGUCUUUCCAAGAGAGACUUAUUUGGAGAAACAUGACAAGGCCGACUUCUUAUGACGAUGGACGCUGGAACCCAUCAACGAUUAGUCAGCUUCAUUUGAAUGUUAUGCUCUAGCAAUAUAUGUUUCAAUCAAUUGUAGCCCAAUGAAUUGCUGAAUGAUGGGAGCAAAUUCUUUCCAUUGCUGCAACAACUUGCAAGUGAUGUAAAUUGUAAUUUUUCAGAAUGUAACGGCAUUUAAAUUAAGACUCAAUUGAAUCAGUAAGCUAAUUACAUGAGUGGAUUAAAGUCUUGUUCUCUGCUUUUAGCCCAUAGGGAAUAAUUACUACAACGUCAAAACCUGUGUGCCUUCAUGAAACUUGGACUGUGGCAGAGUGGAUGAACCUCACACGACACUUUCUACUAUAAGUUUAUAUAUUGGGAUUAGGCUGCAGUCAAGUCUUGAGUAACAAAAAUUAAACCGGGUGGGGUUUUUUAUUGUGGCAGUGUGCGACAUCGCGGCGAAAAAUAUAAGUGUUUUUCAUUUUAAAUCGACAAUGUAAAUCUAUAUCUAUUUUAAAUCUACAAUGUAAAUCUAUAUCUAUUUGGCAAAUGGAGAGACAAGAAAUUCUUGUUUUUUGUUGGUGGAAAAUGGAAUGGGAGUCGUCACCUAGUAUUUUGGUCACUAGAAAUUUUAACUGGUCUCAGAGAUCGGGCACGGGGACUGGUUGCGUAAAGAGAAGGUAUUAGCACCCCAAAUACGCCUUACCUAAGAUAAGCUGCAUUAUUUUAUUGUCUGAUAAAAUCUAAGGUCUUUUCGUGUUUUCCUAGUUGUUGGUAUAGUUCAAGAAAAGUCCUCCUCGGUAAGGAGAUCCUUAUCUUAAUGGGUAAUUCUGACGUUAACAAAAGAAUUUAAUAUUCAGAAUAUGUCUUACGUAUAAGAUCGUAACCCCAAAUACUAAGUCCUCCUCGGUAAGGAGAUCCUUAUCUUAAUGGGUAAUUCUGACGUUAACAAAAGAAUUUAAUAUUUGGAAUACGUCUUACGUAUAAGAUCGUAACCCCAAAUACUAAAAGAAAACACAAUAAUUUUUUUGGAAGUUUUGAAAUAUUGGUCUAGUUCUCAUGGCUUGAAUAAACUGGUUAUUAAAGCCAACAUGCAUGUUAAUACAUAUAUUGUUUUGAAGUUUCCUUUGUUGCGUGAAAAUACGAUGUUAUAAUAUUUAUAUAUAUAUAUUGGAGAGACUAGGCCGUAUGCAUUAAAACAAAAACAUUUUUUUUAUAUAUAUAUUUUUGAUGUUUUGACGAAAACCGGGUAUUUUAAUACUUGAUUUGUAUCUUUACGGUAUAAAAAUACAAACCAAUAUUAAACCAUUUUGACAAAAAAAUAUGCAGGAAAAUCAUAGGAUUUUUUAUAAUAUAUUUUUUUGAAAGCAAAACAUUUUUUAUUUUAAAAUUUUUUGAUGUUUUGACGGAAACCGAGUAUUUUAAUACUAGAUUUGUAUCUUUACAGUAUAAAAAUACAAACCAAUAUUAAACCAUUUUGACAAAAAUAUGCAGGAAAAUAAACAAUAUUUUUUUCAAAUAUUUUUUAGAAUAUUUCUUUUUAUUUUAUACACACACAUAAUAUAAAACAAUAUAAUAUAUAAUAUAAUAUAUAAUAUAAUAUAUAAUAUAAUAUAUUAUGUGGGCUGGGCCGACCCAAAUAAAUGGGCCAGGCUCAGCCCAGCAUGGAUUGGGCCAAUCUCGGCCCAUUCAAUCUCUCAUUUUUGUCUGGGCCAGACUGGCCCAGAAUCAAUCUGGCCCAGCGCAAGAAACCCAUCGAGAGGGGAAUUAUUUUUCCCCUCCUAUCAAUUCUACAUGCAGGAGGAAAACGCCACGAGAAAAAAAUGCAGGGAGAAGACUUUACCUGGCGUGGAGGAGGUGGUCGUUGGUGGUGCUGCGAUGGAGGCCGGUGGCGGUGUCGUGGCUCACGGACGGCGGCUCCAAGCGGCGGUGCUGCUGUUUCAAACGGCGGAGGGUGAGGAUACUGCUCUUCCUUUCUCCUCCGUAUGGCUUCCUCUUCUUUCGUUUUUGGUGGUUUCCUCAGUUCGGGUUUGCUAGUUGUUCUUUUUGGUUCGGUUCUUUCCCUCCUUUUCCUAUGUUUUCUCUUUUUUUUUCUUUCGGUUUGUUCCUUCUCUUCCCUCUCUACUGAUCGUUCUCUCUCUUCGGGUUUUCUCCUUUCUUUCCCCUCUCUCUAUUCGAGCCUCUCUUUUCGUUUUCUUUUUUUUCCUCUUUUUUCCUCCCCCUCGCGUGCUGGCGUCCAGUCUUCAUUUAUAUGGGGCAAGGGAGCGGGGGCGUCGCUAUUGCCACCCUAUGGCAGCGCACGGGGAGCAGGGCUUUGCUGCCCUGCCACAGCGCCGGGCUGGCUGGCCAGUGGGCGUGGCUGGUAGGGCGCGGCUCCCUCGACUUUUCAUCAUGAGAGCGCAUGGGGGGGCGGUUUUGGCAGAUGUGGCAUGUCGGGUUCAACGACGAAAGAAGAAAAAAUUGCCUUCCCCUGCUGCACGUCCAGGGGAAGAGAUAGGGAACAGUGUCGUUCAAAACGACACUAUUCUGUUUUUUUUUUUUUUAACAUGAAACGGCGCCAUUUUAGACAAAACGCGCCGUUUCAUUUAAAUCAAAAAGGGGCGCCGAAAGGCGUCAUUGUCCAAGUCAGUCCUUAAUUAUAUUUUGUUCAUUUCAAUUGCAUCCCUUCCAAUUUCGGUCGCCACCCCUAUAUUUGUCCGCGUUUUUCACUUCAAUCCUUGGCCUCUGAUUUAUGCAAUUUGACCCUCAAUUAAUCAAUAAACUUCCAAUUUCUUCAAUUUAGCCCAUGAUUUUGUUAAUUACAACCCCUAUAUUUACACGCCUUUUCCAAUUUGGUCCUUGGUUUCGGAUAUUCUCAAUUCAGUCCCUAAUUGGCCAUUAAAGUUCAAUAUUUAUGCAAUUAAGCCCUUGAUUUGACCAAAUCAAUUCCUAAAAAUUAUAAUUUGACCCCAGAACUUUAAUUUCUUCCAAUUAAAGCCCAAAUUGACAUAAAAAUCAAUUUUUCUUGCAAUCAAAACCUCUAUAAAUUCAAUUAAACUUGCAAUAAAAUCCAAUUAAGUCCAUAAACAUCCAAUUUUGAACUUUUCUCUUCAAAUUGAAUUUUUUUCUUUUCCAACUGGGCUUUCAUCAUUCAAGGAUACACUGUCAAAAUUUCAAUCUUUGUAUUUUUAACCUCCUAUUAUUUUUUUAUUUUUUUAAUUUCUUCCGGCUAUAUAUAUAUAUAUAUAUUUAUUAUUAUUAUUAUUUAUUACUUUUAUUAUUUAUUUUGAUUUUUAUUAUUUUUGUUAUUAUUAUAUUUUUUAUUUAUUUUUAUUUUUAUUUUUAUUUUUGUGUGGGGACCCAAAAAUGGGUUACAACAUCGAUGUUGAAGAUGCACUAUUUACUUUUUCAAAGAGAUGAUUGGAUUAAAAGAAAAAAAAAGAAGAAGGUAAAAUGUAAGGUGAUUUUGAAUUUUAUAUAAAAAGUUUAUCGUGGUUUUUUAUAUAUUUAUUUUUAUAGAUGAUUGGUCCGAAAUUAAAUUUAGAUAUCAAUUUUUUUUUUAGUUUUUUUUUAAGAGGAAAGGACUAUUGGAUUAGUAGAGAGAGAAAAAAUAAUUAUUAACGAUUAUUCUAGCCAUAAAAAAUAAUUAAAAUUGGUGUUAAUAGAUUAUAUUUUUUACAACGAUAUUUAGUUGACGGAUUCGGCGAAAAAACAAACUAUGCGUAGUUUGUUGUCUUCAUUCUCGAGGGUUGGGUUGGAAGGCUUACGUGUUUGUAUUGCUUUUAUUUUUUUUUAUUUUUUGAUAUUUUAUAUUUUAAUUAAAAAAUUAAUAAAAAAUUUAUUAAAUUCAAUCAAAUUCAUGAGGAGUUUCUGCUUCUCAAAAAAAAAAAAAAAAUCAUCUCUUAUUAAUGAUGAUCUAUUUUUUUAACUCCAACUUAAAAUAGUGCAAUUUUAAUUUUACUAUUAUUAUCAAUAAUAUACUUUUGCUAUAUUAGCACCACGUCCCUAUCAUGAUUUUUUUACUUAACAAAAAAUAUUUCAUACAAAAAAAUUAUCAUGUGCUUUAUUGUUUUUAUUGUUAUGUAAUUAAAUGAAAAAUAAUUUUUGGAAUCAAAAAAUUAUUGAAUUUGAUGACUAACAUGAUUUGCUUUGUGAGUUUGACUGGCCGAGUCGAGUUGAUUUAAGUUUUUAAAUUAAAUACUAUUUUUUUAACCGAUUUUGUUCUUCAACAUUGAGUUAAUUUAAGAUUAAGCUUUUAAUUUGUUUUUUUAUUUUAUUUUUCAGAUUAUCCCUACAACUUUUAUAUCACAUCCAUGUUAAUUUAGGUAAAUCAAAUAUUUUUUUUUAUCUUAAUAUUAAAUAAAAAUAUCGUUCAAUUCAUAAUUAAAAUCUAGUUUUUUAGAAGACACAUCACUAAUAUUUAAAUAAUUUUUUUGUUUUUAAUUUAAAAUCUGCUCCAAACCCACGGCAUAGGGCGGUAGUUCAAAGCUCCGUAAAAGGAAUUCACAAGUUAGAGCAAAUAUUUGGAGUAAUUAUUCAUAAUCUUUCGUAAAAUAGGUAAACCAAUUUAUUUUCUGAUCACAGUCCAUGUCGUUUCCAUAUCAACAUUAUGCAUCACGAGUCAUUUUUGCUUUUUUUGAACCCCUUGCAACUAAAGUUAUUAAAUUGGAUAUGCUAAUAACUUAUUUUAAGAUUUGGACUAAACAAGUUAAUUUAAAUUGUUUUUAUUAAUUAAAAUAAUAUUAUUUAAUUUAUUUUUUAAAAUUAAAUUAAGUUUGAAACUAAUUCAAUCAUGUGAUAAUUUGAUCCAUCAUAUAGUUUAACUAAGUUAAUUAUCAUCUACUUUUUUAAAAAAUUAACUUGAUUCAGGUUUAAUAAUAAUUAUCAAAACUUGAGAACUGUUUUUUCCUUAAGUUUUACUUAUUUAUUUAUCUUUUUAGUGAUAUAUAAAUCGUUAAAAAAUAAUAUAAAUUAUAUCCUGGAAUUUUGCCUAACCGAUUAAGCUAUUAAGUUAAGAUGGUUUUUUGAUAUAGUAUCAGAGCGUUGAUGAUCAAGCGGUCACGAGUUCGAAUCUCACCAUCCCUAUUUAUUUAAUAAAAAUCAAACACAAGAUAAUAUGAGUUUGUGCAAGUUUCAAGUCCAAAUGACUUUUAUUUGAGGAGGUGUCAAUUUAAACUAUUAAAUUGAAAUAAUUUUUUUGAAACGGAAGGAUUCACAAUUAUUGUGUUCAUGAUGUGAUCCUAUACUUUUUCCUGUUUUUGAGUAGAUGACUAGAUAAAAUUUAUUUAAAAAAAAAAAUCAAAACGACAUUGUUUUAGUAAAAAAGAAAACAAAAAAAAUAAAAGCCAAUAAGUUUGUGGCCGGGUCUUUACCAGAUCUUUCCAGGUCAGCCGGAUCACACCAAAUUUUUCCUUUCUUUAUUUUUUUUUCAACCCGGUCCGGUUUCGUUCCCGGAUCGACCUACCAGGUCAUCAGGUUUCAAAACUAUGUCGAAGGUUACCACCUUUGGUUUUUUAUCUCUAUUUUUUAAAUGACCAAGUUGUAUUCCAAUAAUUAAAGGGGAAAUAGAGACCACUUGUCUUAUAAAAAAUACCGUUGGCUUUUGCUGGUUUCCUCACUCAAAACCACCACGAAGAAGCCUUGAGCCUCUGGUUUUUCUCCUACAAUUUUGGUACACACUCACCUAUAUAACCAAACCCCUUUACUCCCAUUUACUUCAUCAAAUCAUAACUCCUGAUAUCUUAAUCUCUCCAAAUCCCACUUCAAAGAGUUUCCAGCUCGUUGGUUCUAUAUUACAGUAACACAGAAAAUGAGUUCAGCAAGCAAAGCUUGGUUGGUUGCAGCAGCUGUUGGAGGAGUCGAGGCCUUGAAAGACCAAGGGUUCUGUAGGUGGAACUAUACCUUGAGAUCGCUACACCAACAUGCCAAGAACCAUGUCAGAUCAGCCUCUCAGGCCAAGAAGCUUUCUUCUUCAUCUUCUGCUAUGAUCUCGAAUAAAAUCAAGGAAGUGAAAGCAAAACAGUCUGAGGAAUCUCUAAGAAAAGUCAUGUAUUCGAGCUGUUGGGGUCCUUACUAAGCAAAGAAGCUAGAACAGAUUGAGGAAGUUAUCGUGAUAGGAUUAUCCUGAUUGUUGCAAGUUGAUGUAAAUUGAUUCGUAAAUAUUGUUGCUGAC